rnacentral:rRNA from 1 species
GUGCCAGCAGCCGCGGUAAUACAGAGGGUGCAAGCGUUAAUCGGAAUUACUGGGCGUAAAGCGAGCGUAGGUGGCUUGAUAAGUCAGAUGUGAAAUCCCCGGGCUUAACCUGGGAACUGCAUCUGAUACUGUUAGGCUAGAGUAGGUGAGAGGGAGGUAGAAUUUCAGGUGUAGCGGUGAAAUGCGUAGAGAUCUGAAGGAAUACCGAUGGCGAAGGCAGCCUCCUGGCAUCAUACUGACACUGAGGUUCGAAAGCGUGGGUAGCAAACAGGAUUAGAUACCCUGGUAGUCCACGCCGUAAACGAUGUCUACUAGUCGUUGGGGAACUUGAUUCCUUAGUGACGCAGCUAACGCAAUAAGUAGACCGCCUGGGGAGUACGGCCGCAAGGUUAAAACUCAAAUGAAUUGACGGGGGCCCGCACAAGCGGUGGAGCAUGUGGUUUAAUUCGAUGCAACGCGAAGAACCUUACCUGGUCUUGACAUAUCUAGAAUCCUGCAGAGAUGCGGGAGUGCCUUCGGGAAUUAGAAUACAGGUGCUGCAUGGCUGUCGUCAGCUCGUGUCGUGAGAUGUUGGGUUAAGUUCCGCAACGAGCGCAACCCUUUUCCUUAGUUACCAGCGGUUAGGCCGGGGGACUCUAAGGAUACUGCCAGUGACAAACUGGAGGAAGGCGGGGACGACGUCAAGUCAUCAUGGCCCUUACGACCAGGGCUACACACGUGCUACAAUGGUAGGUACAGAGGGCAGCUACACAGCGAUGUGAUGCGAAUCUCAAAAAGCCUAUCGUAGUCCAGGAUUGGAGUCUGCAACUCGACUCCAUGAAGUCAGAAUCGCUAGUAAUCGCGGAUCAGAAUGCCGCGGUGAAUACGUUCCCGGGCCUUGUACACACCGCCCGUCACACCAUGGGAGUUGAUUGCACCAGAAGUGGGUAGCCUAACUUUUAGAGGGCGCUCACCACGGUGUGGUCGAUGACUGGGGUGAAGUCGUAACAAGGUAACCGAAUCACUAGU